rnacentral:rRNA from 1 species
UAUUGGGCAAUGGGCGCAAGCCUGACCCAGCAACGCCGCGUGAAGGAAGAAGGCCCUCGGGUUGUAAACUUCUUUUAACAGGGACGAAGAAAGUGACGGUACCUGUUGAAUAAGCCACGGCUAACUACGUGCCAGCAGCCGCGGUAAUACGGAGGUGGCAAGCGUUAUCCGGAUUUACUGGGUGUAAAGGGCGUGUAGGCGGGAGAGCAAGUCAGACUUGAAAUUCCAGGGCUCAACCCUGGAACUGCGUUUGAAACUGUUCUUCUUGAGUGAUGGAGAGGCAGGCGGAAUUCCGUGUGUAGCGGUGAAAUGCGUAGAUAUACGGAGGAACACCAGUGGCGAAGGCGGCCUGCUGGACAUUAACUGACGCUGAGGCGCGAAAGCGUGGGGAGCAAACAG